UAAUAGCUCAGUCGGUAGAUUAUGAGACUCUUAAUUUCAGGGUCAUGGGUUUGAGCCCCAAGUUGGGCAAAA